GGAGUGGAGCCUGCGGCUUAAUUUGACUCAACACGGGAAACCUCACCCGGCCCGGACACGGACAGGAUUGACAGAUUGAUAGCUCUUUCUCGAUUCCGUGGGUGGUGGUGCAUGGCCGUUCUUAGUUGGUGGAGCGAUUUGUCUGGUUAAUUCCGAUAACGAACGAGACUCUGGCAUGCUAACUAGUUACGCGACCCCCGAGCGGUCGGCGUCCCCCAACUUCUUAGAGGGACAAGUGGCGUUCAGCCACCCGAGAUUGAGCAAUAACAGGUCUGUGAUGCCCUUAGAUGUGAGGGGCUGCACGCGCGCUACACUGACUGGCUCAGCGUGUGCCUACCCUACGCCGGCAGGCGCGGGUAACCAGGGGAACCCCAUUCGUGAUGGGGAUCGGGGAUUGCAAUUAUUCCCCAUGAACGAGGAAUUCCCAGUAAGUGCGGGUCAUAAGCUUGCGUN
rnacentral:ncRNA from 1 species